rnacentral:rRNA from 1 species
UUAGAGUUUGAUCCUGGCUCAGGAUGAACGCUAGCGGCAGGCUUAACACAUGCAAGUCGAGGGGCAGCAUGAGGAGUAGCAAUACACCUUGAUGGCGACCGGCGCAAGGGUGCGUAACGCGUGAGCAACAUGCCCGUAUCAGGGAGAUAACCGAUGGAAACGUCGCCUAAUAUCCCAUAACAUCAAAGAUGACAUCGUCAUUGAUUGAAAGAUUCGUCGGAUACGGAUUGGCUCGCGUGAUAUUAGUUAGUUGGCGGGGUAACGGCCCACCAAGACGACGAUAUCUAGGGGUUCUGAGAGGAAGGUCCCCCACAUUGGAACUGAGACACGGUCCAAACUCCUACGGGAGGCAGCAGUGAGGAAUAUUGGUCAAUGGUCGGAAGACUGAACCAGCCAUGCCGCGUGAAGGAAUAAGGUCCUAUGGAUUGUAAACUUCUUUUGUAUGGGAGCAAUAAGACCUACGUGUAGGUUGAUGAGAGUACCAUACGAAUAAGCAUCGGCUAACUCCGUGCCAGCAGCCGCGGUAAUACGGAGGAUGCAAGCGUUAUCCGGAUUUAUUGGGUUUAAAGGGUGCGUAGGCGGUAGGGUAAGUCAGCGGUGAAAUGUCCUCGCUCAACGAGGAAAGUGCCGUUGAUACUGUUCUACUAGAAUUCGGAUGCCGUGGGAGGAAUGUGUAGUGUAGCGGUGAAAUGCUUAGAUAUUACACAGAACACCGAUUGCGAAGGCAUCUCACGAAUCCGACAUUGACGCUGAGGCACGAAAGUGUGGGGAUCAAACAGGAUUAGAUACCCUGGUAGUCCACACUGUAAACGAUGAUAACUAACCGUUGGCGAUAUACAGUCAGUGGCUAAGCGAAAGCGAUAAGUUAUCCACCUGGGGAGUACGUUCGCAAGAAUGAAACUCAAAGGAAUUGACGGGGGCCCGCACAAGCGGAGGAACAUGUGGUUUAAUUCGAUGAUACGCGAGGAACCUUACCCGGGCUCGAACGGCAAGUGAAGCGACGCAGAGAUGCUGACGUCCCUUCGGGGACACUUGUCGAGGUGCUGCAUGGUUGUCGUCAGCUCGUGCCGUGAGGUGUCGGCUUAAGUGCCAUAACGAGCGCAACCCUUGUCGUUAGUUGCCAUCAGGUAAAGCUGGGGACUCUAGCGAGACUGCCACCGCAAGGUGUGAGGAAGGGGGGGAUGACGUCAAAUCAGCACGGCCCUUACGUCCGGGGCGACACACGUGUUACAAUGGUGAUUACAGAAGGCCGCUACCUGGUGACAGGAUGCCAAUCUUCAAAAAUCAUCUCAGUUCGGAUUGGAGUCUGCAACUCGACUCCAUGAAGUUGGAUUCGCUAGUAAUCGCGCAUCAGCCAUGGCGCGGUGAAUACGUUCCCGGGCCUUGUACACACCGCCCGUCA